rnacentral:rRNA from 1 species
UGGGGAAUCUUGCGCAAUGGGUGGAAGCCUGACGCAGCGACGCCGCGUGUGUGACGAAGGCCUUCGGGUCGUAAAGCACUGUCAGCCGGGAAGAAGACAUGCGUGCAAACCACGCGUGUGUUGACGGUACCGGCGAAGGAAGCACCGGCUAACUCCGUGCCAGCAGCCGCGGUAAGACGGAGGGUGCAAGCGUUGUUCGGAAUCAUUGGGCGUACAGGGCGCGCAGGCGGCCCCGAAAGUCCGGUGUGAAACCCCGAGGCUCAACCUCGGAGGCGCAUCGGAAACUGUGGGGCUUGAGUCCGGGAGGGGCCCGUGGAAUUCCUGGUGUAGGGGUGAAAUCCGUAGAGAUCAGGAGGAACACCGGAGGUGAAAACGACGGGCUGGACCGGGACUGACGCUGAGGCGCGAAAGCGCGGGUAGCCAACAGGAUUAGAUACCCCCGUAGUCC